rnacentral:rRNA from 1 species
UUUAGCUUUCGUUACUUGGUUUCGUAUAGCUUCUUAGAGGGACUCUGCGGCUUCAAGUCGCAGGGAAGUUUAAGGCAAUAACAGGUCUGUGAUGCCCUUAGAUGUCCUGGGCUGCACGCGCGCUACACUAAUGCAUGCAUCGAGUUUAUCCUGCUCCGAAAGGUGCGGGUAAUCACUAGUCUGCAUCGUGUCGGGGAUUGAUUUUUGCAAUUCUAAAUCAUGAACGAGGAAUGCCUAGUAUGCGCAAGUCAUCAGCUUGUGCAGAUUACGUCCCUGCCCUUUGUACACACCGCCCGUCG